UNAUUACAACAGCCAUAGUUUAUUGGAUGUUUACGUUCCUACAUGGACACCUGCGGUAAUUCUGGAGCUAAUACAUGCACAAGCCGACGACCUUACGGAAGUCGCGCAUUUGUUAGAUCAAACCAAUCGGUCCUCCGGGACCGUAAUUUGAUGACUCUGAACAACUUAGCUGACCGCACAGUCUCGUACUGGCGGCAUAUCUUUCAAGUGUCUGCCUUAUCAACUUUCGUUGGUAGUUUAUACGACUACCAAGGUUGUAACGGGUAACGGAGAAUAAGGGUUCGACUCCGGAGAGGGAGCCUGAGAAACGGCUACCACAUCCAAGGAAGGCAGCAGGCGCGCAAAUUACCCACUCGCAGAACGCGGAGGUAGUGACGAAAAAUAACGAGGUGGCUCUCUAUGAGGUCCAUCAUCGGAAUGGGUACAAUUUAAAUCCUUUAACGAGGAUCUAUUGGAGGGCAAGUCUGGUGCCAGCAGCCGCGGUAAUUCCAGCUCCAAUAGCGUAUACUAAAGUUGUUGCGGUUAAAAAGCUCGUAGUUGGAUCUGCGCUCUGUGAGAGCGGUCGCUCGCUGAGUUGUACUGUCUCUCACGGGCUAACCAUUCGGUUUUCCCUUGAUGCUCUUCAUUGAGUGUCCUGGGUGACCGAAACGUUUACUUUGAAAAAAUUAGAGUGCUCAAAGCAGGCGAUUUGCCCGAAUAUUCGUGCAUGGAAUAAUAAAAGAGGUCCUUGUAGCCUUUUAUUGGUUAUCGCUACGAGGAAAUGAUCGAAGGGGACAGACGGGGGCAUUUGUAUUGCGACGUUAGAGGUGAAAUUCUUGGAUCGUCGCAAGACAAACUACUGCGAAAGCAUUUGCCAAGAAUGUUUUCAUCAAUCAAGAA
rnacentral:rRNA from 1 species